rnacentral:rRNA from 1 species
UGCAAGUCGAACGAUGAAACCGCUUCGGUGGUGGAUUAGUGGCGAACGGGUGAGUAACACGUGGGCAAUCUGCCCUUCACUCUGGGACAAGCCCUGGAAACGGGGUCUAAUACCGGAUAAUACUCCUGCCUGCAUGGGUGGGGGUUGAAAGCUCCGGCGGUGAAGGAUGAGCCCGCGGCCUAUCAGCUUGUUGGUGGGGUAAUGGCCUACCAAGGCGACGACGGGUAGCCGGCCUGAGAGGGCGACCGGCCACACUGGGACUGAGACACGGCCCAGACUCCUACGGGAGGCAGCAGUGGGGAAUAUUGCACAAUGGGCGAAAGCCUGAUGCAGCGACGCCGCGUGAGGGAUGACGGCCUUCGGGUUGUAAACCUCUUUCAGCAGGGAAGAAGCGCAAGUGACGGUACCUGCAGAAGAAGCGCCGGCUAACUACGUGCCAGCAGCCGCGGUAAUACGUAGGGCGCAAGCGUUGUCCGGAAUUAUUGGGCGUAAAGAGCUCGUAGGCGGCUUGUCACGUCGGAUGUGAAAGCCCGGGGCUUAACCCCGGGUCUGCAUUCGAUACGGGCUAGCUAGAGUGUGGUAGGGGAGAUCGGAAUUCCUGGUGUAGCGGUGAAAUGCGCAGAUAUCAGGAGGAACACCGGUGGCGAAGGCGGAUCUCUGGGCCAUUACUGACGCUGAGGAGCGAAAGCGUGGGGAGCGAACAGGAUUAGAUACCCUGGUAGUCCACGCCGU